CCAGCAGCCGCGGUAAUUCCAGCCUCCAAUAGCGCUAUAUUAAAGUUGUUGCCGUUAAAAAGCUCGAUAGUUGAACCUUGGACCUGGCUGAUCUGUCCUCCUCAUCGAGCGCACGGAUUCGGUCGGGUCUUUCCUUCUGGGGAGCCUCAUGCCCUUCACUGGGUGUGUUGGGGAACCAGGACUUUUACCUUGAAAAAAUUAGAGUGUUCAAAGCAGGCCUUUGCUCGAAUACAUUGCAUGGAAUAAUAGAAUAGGACAUCGGUUCUAUUUUGUUGGUUUCUAGGGGGGGGUAAUGAUUAAUAGGGAUAGACAGGGCGUCAGUAUUCAAUUGUCAGAGGUGAAAUUCUUAGGGGAUUUAUUGAAGACUAACUACUGCGAAAGCAUUCGCCAAGGAUGUUUUCAUUAAUCAGUGAACGAAAGUUAGGGGAUCGAAGACGAUCAGAUACCGUCGUAGUCUUAACCAUAAACUAUGCCGACUAGGGAUCGGACGGUGGUUUUUUUAUGCCCCGUUCGGCACCUUACGAGAAAUCAAAGUUUUUGGGCUCGGGGGGGAUUAUGGUCGCAAGGCUGAAACUUAAAGAAAUUGACGGAAGGUCACCACCAGGCGUGGAGCCUGCGGCUUAAUUUGACUCAACACGGGGAAACUCACCAGGUCCAGAUGAAAUAAGGAUUGACAGAUUGAGAGCUCUUUCUUGAUUUUUCAGGUGGUGGUGCAUGGCCGUUCUUAGUUCGUGGGGUGACUUGUCUGCUUAGUUGCGAUAACGAGCGAGACCUUACUCUGCUAAAUAGCCAGGCUAGCUUUGGCUGGUCGCCGGCUUCUUAGAGAGACUAUCAACUCAAGUUGAUGGAAGUUUGAGGCAAUAACAGGUCAUGCUGAUGCCCUUAGAUGUUCUGGGCCGCACGCGCGCUACACUGACAGAGCCAACGAGUUCUUCACCUUGACCGAAAGGUCUGGGUAAUCUUGUUAAACUCUGUCGUGCUGGGGAUAAAGCAUUGCAAUUAUUGCUUUUCAACGAGGAAUGCCUAGUAAGCGCGUGUCAUCAGCAUGCGUUGAUUACGUCCCUGACCUUUGUACACACCGCCCGUCGCUACUACCGAUUGAAUGGCUCAGUGAGGCGUUUGGACUGGCUCGGGGAGGUUGGCAACGACCACCCCAAGCCGGAAAGUUCUCCAAACUCGGUCAUUUAGAGGAAGUAAAAGUCGUAACAAGGUCUCCGUAGGUGAACCUGCG
rnacentral:rRNA from 1 species